UUCCACUUUUCGAUGUGGGAUAACCCAACAUGAAACAUCUUAUUGAAUUGCUUCAUUACCGAACGAGAAUCGCUCAUUGUAUAAAAAUUAAAAUUGCUUACAAAAAACAUUUUCAUCGGCCAAAUAUUUGGCCUCCAAAUCAUCUCACAAAUCUGCGACCAAUUCAAAUGAUUCGUACACUUCAAACAAAAUGUCAGGCGGACCAUUGAGAAUAUGACCAACACAAAGAAAUUGUUCAGUUUCCUAUUUCUUCAUUUUCCUCAGAUGCUUGUUCUUCUCUUCUUCAUCAGUACCAUUCAACUCCAUAUCAAUGGGAUAUAGGGUGCUCAGGACGUAUGCCACCUUAACUCCAUCGAACUUGUCGAUUUUUCCAUACACUGAAUUGGCUUCCUUUAAUGGAAUUGUCCUGGCCAUUAUAACAUAUAUUUUUUACAAUUGUUUGGAAAUAAUAUUGUACCUUUUUGAAAGUGUGAGGACGGGUGUUGACUCGAGCGGUGUUGCUAUUUCUCACAUGUUGAUAACCUUUGUGUAUGAGCAGACGACUAGACCAAAUCAUGUCUUAAAUUGUAAGAAAGUCGUAAAUGUACUUCACUCGUCGUGAACAAUAUUCCCACCCUUUUCUGAUGUUUAGGGUUACAAAAAAUUCUUCAUAAAAUAAAAGCACUAACACUUUCACUUUCAAGACUGAAGGAAAAUGAACAGCCUUUAAGAUUUAGUGAAAGAGAUGACCUUGUG
rnacentral:lncRNA from 1 species